GACCGUAUGGCCCAAUGGAUAAGGUGCUGGUCUACGAAACCAGAGAUUCUGGGUUCCAGUAUGGUUG
rnacentral:tRNA from 1 species